rnacentral:rRNA from 1 species
AGUGAACGCUGGCGGUAGGCCUAACACAUGCAAGUCGAACGGCAGCACAGUAAGAGCUUGCUCUUACGGGUGGCGAGUGGCGGACGGGUGAGGAAUACAUCGGAAUCUACUUUUUCGUGGGGGAUAACGUAGGGAAACUUACGCUAAUACCGCAUACGACCUACGGGUGAAAGCAGGGGAUCUUCGGACCUUGCGCGAUUGAAUGAGCCGAUGUCGGAUUAGCUAGUUGGCGGGGUAAAGGCCCACCAAGGCGACGAUCCGUAGCUGGUCUGAGAGGAUGAUCAGCCACACUGGAACUGAGACACGGUCCAGACUCCUACGGGAGGCAGCAGUGGGGAAUAUUGGACAAUGGGCGCAAGCCUGAUCCAGCCAUACCGCGUGGGUGAAGAAGGCCUUCGGGUUGUAAAGCCCUUUUGUUGGGAAAGAAAAGCAGCAGGUUAAUACCCCGCUGUUCUGGCGGUACCCAAAGAAUAAGCACCGGCUAACUUCAUG